rnacentral:rRNA from 1 species
AUAGCGUAUAUUAAAGUUGUUGCAGUUAAAAAGCUCGUAGUUGGAUUUCAAGGGACGCAACGUGGAUAACACGUCUGCCCCCUACCAGUCUUAGACUGUUACUGUGAGAAAAUUAGAGUGUUUCAAGCAGGCUGUUGCAGGAAUACAUUAGCAUGGAAUAACGAAUGGGUCUAGAAUCUUGGUUAAUUCUAGAUUACGAUUAAUAGGGACAGUUGGGGGCAUUAGUAUUUAAUUGUCAGAGGUGAAAUUCUUGGAUUUAUUAAAGACUAACGUAUG